GGUCAGACUGCCUCCUCAAGUGGGUCCAUGACCCCCAUGUAUCCUGAUUGGGAGACACCUCCCAGGAGGGGCUGACAGACACCUCAUACCGGAGAGCUCUGGCUAGUAUCUGGCAGGUGCCCCUCUGAGACAAAGCUUCCAGAGGAAAGAACAGGCAGCAAUCUUUGCUGUUCUGCAGCCUCCGCUGGUGAUACCCAGGCAAACAGGGUCUGGGGUGGACCUUCAGCAAACUCCAGCAGACCUGCAGCAGAGGGGCUUGACUGUUGGAAGGAAAACUAACAAACAGAAAGGAAUAGCACAUCCACUCAGAGACCCCAUCCGAAGGUCACCAACAUCAAAGACCAAAGGUCUUGAGACUUCGGUUUCGCAUACAUAAAGAAGAUGGUACCGUAAAAUAUGAUCACCACAGUCAGGUGAGCUGAGCACGUGGAAAAUGCCUUGCGUCUUCCUGUGGCUGAAUUCAUUUGCAAGAUGGUGUAGAGGAUGAACAUAUAGGAGAAAAAAAUGACCAUCAGUGGAAGAACCAGGAAGGCCAUAUUUGAUAUCACCAUGGUGAUAAUAUUGAGGGAUAUAUCAGCACAGGCCAGCUUGAGGACAGCUAAUAUUUCACAUGCGAAAUGAUUGAUAAUAUUAUUCCCACAGAAAGGCAGUCUCAUGGCAAGUAAUGUUUGCACAGCUGAAUUUAUUCCACCGGACAGCCAGGACACAGAAGCCAUCAAUACAUACGCCACCUUGCUCAGGAUGAUGGGGUAUCUCAGUGGGUUGCAGAUGGCCACAUAACGAUCAAAUGCCAUCAUGCCAAGAAGCAGACAUUCUGUUGACCCCAUUGCAAACCCAAAGAACAUCUGCACUGCACAUCCAGAGAAGGAAAUGUUUCUUUUCUUUGAGAUUAAGCUCACCAAUGUUGAGGGAACAGAGGAGGAUGUAUAGCAGAUAUCCAGGAAAGAGAGGUUGCCCAGGAAGAAGUACAUUGGUGUGUGAAAAUGAGAAUCAAAGAUGCUGGCUAUGAUUAGAACACCAUUGCCAAUUAGAAUCACUAGGUACAUAACUAGAAUGAGAGCAAAGUAAACAAUCUCAAUCUUUGGGUAUCCAGAAAGACCCAGAAGAAGAAAUUCUGACACAAGUGUCUGGUUAAUCUCACCCAUGUCAUCUGCUUUCAGGAAAUCAAAAGAAGAUCUAACAUGAAAUGUAUUUACUGCCAAGAAACAAACAGUACAAAUUAACUGAACAAUCAUUCUUUUGACACAUAUUAGAAGGAGUGCUUGCUUGAAGUUCUGACAUCCAGUUAUCUUCAGUAAUGUGUGUGACUAGAAUACAAUGAAAUUGGGAAUGAUGGAAGCACCUAUACCGCAUCGCCAAUAUGUGAAGAUCUACCCACGAUCAGACACACAUGCAGACGGAACCUUUCCUGCUGUUGAGGACAUGUUCCUGAGUUGAGGACACUCUCCCGAGCUGAGGUUUCUAAAACCCCUGGCCAAUCAACAACUCUAAGCUUAACAUCUUCAUUUCAUCAACCCCAGCAAACAAGCAGUAAAGGGGGCAAAAGACUACUCAACAAAGACUGGAAUUUUAAUUCAGCAAUUUAUAAAGUGUUUAAAAUUU
rnacentral:lncRNA from 10 species